rnacentral:tRNA from 4 species
AGGGGCGUAGUUCAGUUGGUAGAACGGCGGUCUCCAAAACCGCAUGUCGUGGGUUCGAAUCCUGCCGCCCCUGCCA